rnacentral:rRNA from 1 species
GACAGAGGAUGCAAGCGUUAUCCGGAAUGAUUGGGCGUAAAGCGUCUGUAGGUGGCUUUUCAAGUCCGCCGUCAAAUCCCAGGGCUCAACCCUGGACAGGCGGUGGAAACUACCAAGCUGGAGUACGGUAGGGGCAGAGGGAAUUUCCGGUGGAGCGGUGAAAUGCAUUGAGAUCGGGAAGAACACCAGCGGCGAAAGCGCUCUGCUGGGCCGACACUGACACUGAGAGACGAAAGCUAGGGGAGCAAAUGGG